CCAACCCGUGUUUGUGAAUACUCAUCCACCAUGUUUUCGAUGUGGAACGUCCGAGGACGUCGCGAUCGGCGGCGUAAGGUGAUCGCCGUUGUGUAGUGCGCCAACUCAUGUUGGUAUUACAAUUUAAACAAAACUCCAUCACAUGCCGUUUGGGGAGCCGCCACGUCCGGUGGUAGCGUUUCCAUAGAUUUUCAUUAGUUCACACCUCAACGAGCAAACGUUUUUUUCGUGGACCAGGAGCUGCUGGACUGGUGACAUCAUUUCCCCGGUGCUCUGCAGAUUGAUACGAUCAUCCCAACAGCUGAGCCUGGA